rnacentral:rRNA from 1 species
GACGGGGGGGGCAAGUGUUCUUCGGAAUGACUGGGCGUAAAGGGCACGUGGGCGGUGAAUCGGGUUGAAAGUGAAAGUCGCCAAAAACUGGCGGAAUGCUCUCGAAACCAAUUCACUUGGGUGAGACAGAGGAGAGUGGAAUUUCGUGUGUAGGGGUGAAAUCCGCAAAUCUACGAAGGAAGGCCAAAAGCGAAGGCAGCUCUCUGGGUCCCUACCGACGCUGGGGUGCGAAAGCAUGGGGAGCGAACAGG